UUAAAUUUCCCAUUACCAAAUCGCAAAGUGUCCGAUGCCUUUAAUACCAUUCCAUUUUUGAGAUCUUGAAUUGACGUUGGCCUUUUGGCCUAUACCUUCUUUUUUCCCGUGACCCCAAAGAAAAAAGUCGUAAGGUGUUACAUCAGAAGAUACCGGUGGUCAAUUACGAUCACCUCUUCGAGAGACAACACCGUCCGGAUCUUUUCCUUUAGAAGAUCGAUGGUUUCGUUGUGUGUUUGGCACGUAGCGUUGUCUUGUUGAAAGUAAACGUUCUCAAGAUCAAUACAAAACAAUGCCAUGAAAAAUAAUUAAUCAUCUCUCGAUACAGCAAUCCAUUCACCAUAACUGUUGCUCCAGCUUCAUUUUCGAAAAAGUAAAGUACAAUGACUCCACCGCGGCAAACGGUUACUCUUUGAGGAUAGAGGAGUAUUCCGAACCCCAGAUGCAACAGUUUUGCUUUUUGACUUUGCCAUUAAGGUGAAAAUAGGUCUCAUCAGUCAAGUUGAUUUUUCGAUGAAACUCCGCAUAAUUUUCAUGCAUUUCGAGAAACCCAUCUGCAAAGGCUCGACGUUGUUGAUAAUCAGCCAGCUUGGUUCUUGUGUUAACUGAACUUAAUAAGCCUUAAGAUCCAAGUCUUUAUACAAAAUACGGUGUAAUGAUAUUUGUGGAAUGCCCAAUUCCAAAGAACGACGAGGAGUGGUCAAUUCUGGGGGGUUUCUUCUAUACUGUGUACUACUGCAGCAAUAUUCUGAGUUGUUCUUGAGUGGCGUGCACAUGUUUUAUUCUUCAAAUCUUCACAACUUGUCUCAACAGCUCUGUUUUUUACACCAAUUUUUUUACUGCGGUACAACAAGGUGCUCCACGACGACCGAAAAAUGUUUUUGGCUUUUUGGCAUUCAUCAUUUUUAUAGUGAGUUUUUAAUAACUUCAGGGCAUUGUAUCAGAUCGUGUAUUCUGCCAUUUAUGUUAUUGUCGUAGCUUUUACUUUUCAAACGUAAAAAAAAUACAGCUUCAAAAGUAACAUUUACCGGAAUAUCACUUUUUAUUAGAAACCCCUUUAUUUUAAACGAGAAUCUGCAAAUUCUUUGAAUAUACCGGGACCUGUGUUCAUUUCUUGGAAGCAGAAGUCUUCACUAGGUCAAAUCAGGAGGAAGUUUACUGUUUGGUUUGGUGGUUGAUGGGCAGUAAGAAUUGUUACUGAAUUUUACUGAAUCGCGUUUGAGCUUAGCGCGUUUGUAAAUUUUACAUUUUUAAGGACAUUUCUCAUCGAACAGAGUAUUUGCAUCCUGCUCCGCUUCGCUGUGGCUAAAUAUUCAUUGAAUAUUAACCCUGGGCUCCACUGAUAGUGAUCGCAAGCACCAGUCGAACAUGGAACUGCUGUCGCUUGAAUUGAACGGGAGUAUCGGACGGAAUGACAGCGAUUCGAGGAAUGAGGACGUCUUCACCUAUGAAAGUUUCGGUUGUUUAAUAUUACGUCAUUAUGAUGAUUUUUAAAUUCAAUAUGCGCAGUUGAUCUCCGUUAAGUCCAAAAUAUUAAAAAACUUUGUUGAAUCAUUAACUGCAUCAGUUUGACUUUUAUGUGUCGGACUCGCCUCCAAUGCCUGCCUAAAUAGUCUGGUUGAGAUCAUAAACAUCUUUGUUUUCCGCAGCGUGGUUGAAUCGUUCAUACUACCAUUCCUGAUCGCUAUAAUUGAUUUGGAUAAUUGGAAAUUCUUUGUGAAUCAAUUAUUCUUUUGACGUCAAAUGACGAAUUUGCAAAAGUGAUCGUGAAAGUACGUGGCCGAUGGAUCAUUUUGAAGGACUAAAAGUGACUUCGGCGAUUUUUAGAAUGUCUGAUUUAAUUGAGCAAAGAAGUGCGAUCAAAUUUCAUUCAGCUGCUGAAACUUUGAGUUCCUACAAAAAGCUUUUGGGGACUCAACUAUGCCAUAGAAGAACGUGUAUAAGUGAUACAAAGAAUUCAAAGAGGUCGGAAAUGUGUUGAUGACAAGGAGCGCUCGGGACGAGCAUCAACGUCAACUGAUGUGCAACACGUCAAUGAAAUUAAGGAAUUAGUGCUCAAAAAUCGUCGAUUGGCUGUUAGAG